rnacentral:rRNA from 1 species
UACGUAGGGUGCGAGCGUUGUCCGGAAUUAUUGGGCGUAAAGGGCUCGUAGGCGGUUUGUCGCGUCGGGAGUGAAAACCCAGGGCUUAACCCUGGGCUGGCAUCCGAUACGGGCAGACUAGAGGUAUGCAGGGGAGAACGGAAUUCCUGGUGUAGCGGUGAAAUGCGCAGAUAUCAGGAGGAACACCGGUGGCGAAGGCGGUUCUCUGGGCCGAUACUGACGCUGAGGAGCGAAAGCGUGGGGAGCGAACAGG